AACGAACGCUGGCGGCAGGCCUAACACAUGCAAGUCGAGCGAGGACUUCGGUCCUAGCGGCGGACGGGUGAGUAACGCGUGGGAACGUGCCCUUUGCUUCGGAAUAGCCCUGGGAAACUGGGAGUAAUACCGGAUGAGCCCUUUGGGGGAAAGAUUUAUCGGUGAAGGAUCGGCCCGCGUUGGAUUAGGUAGUUGGUGGGGUAAUGGCCUACCAAGCCGACGAUCCAUAGCUGGUUUGAGAGGAUGAUCAGCCACACUGGGACUGAGACACGGCCCAGACUCCUACGGGAGGCAGCAGUAGGGAAUCUUAGACAAUGGGGGAAACCCUGAUCUAGCCAUGCCGCGUGAGCGAUGAAGGCCUUAGGGUUGUAAAGCUCUUUCAGCUGGGAAGAUAAUGACGGUACCAGCAGAAGAAGCCCCGGCUAACUCCGUG
rnacentral:rRNA from 1 species